AUUGAACGCUGGCGGCAUGCCUUACACAUGCAAGUCGAACGGCAGCAUAGGAGCUUGCUCCUGAUGGCGAGUGGCGAACGGGUGAGUAAUAUAUCGGAACGUGCCCUAGAGUGGGGGAUAACUAGUCGAAAGACUAGCUAAUACCGCAUACGAUCUACGGAUGAAAGUGGGGGAUCGCAAGACCUCAUGCUCCUGGAGCGGCCGAUAUCUGAUUAGCUAGUUGGUGGGGUAAAAGCCUACCAAGGCGACGAUCAGUAGCUGGUCUGAGAGGACGACCAGCCACACUGGGACUGAGACACGGCCCAGACUCCUACGGGAGGCAGCAGUGGGGAAUUUUGGACAAUGGGGGCAACCCUGAUCCAGCAAUGCCGCGUGAGUGAAGAAGGCCUUCGGGUUGUAAAGCUCUUUUGUCAGGGAAGAAACGGUAGUAGCUAAUAUCUACUACUAAUGACGGUACCUGAAGAAUAAGCACCGGCUAACUACGUGCCAGCCGCCGCAGUAAGAC
rnacentral:rRNA from 1 species